rnacentral:rRNA from 1 species
AUGGAGAACGGCAACACCUUCUCUUCCGGCAUCGGCAGGGACACUUUGCCCCAGGAAUUCUCCGUGGGGAUGAGGUUCCUCGUGGUGGAGGACGACCAGAACGACUUCGAGGACUUGACGCAAAUCCUCGAGAGGUGCGGCUACAAAGUGACGGCGAAAGCGUCACCGAGAGAAGCGCUGAAAGAGGUGGAGGAGAAGGGAGAGGAAUUUCACUUCGACAUCAUCAUGACUGUCAUGCAUGGUGGUGAAGGAGGAGCUGGAUUCGAUGGUUUUGACCUCCUCGAGUGCGUUCGGGACCGUUACCCGGUCAGAGUAUUCGAUAUGUCGCACAUAUAUGCAUGCAUGGUUACUGUAAGACUAAUAUCACCAUUCAAACUCAACUUGGCCACCAAAAACUACACCAAGUGGAAGCAUCUCUUUCAACUUGUGGACACCAAAUUCAACUGCCUUGACCUUAGCAUGAGCAUGAUCUUGCAUCUUGAGACAUCAAGUGGCACAAGGAAGAUCUCACGAUCAUCAUGUGGCUAUGCAACGAUAUCUAGUGAGCUAUACGAUGUGUACAUGUCAGCAGAGAACGCAACAUUUCAAGGUGACAUGAUCAUCGCCACCCACUACUGGUGCCUCAGGGUGCUCGUUCACUCUCUCGCCAAUGAUGAGAAACUGGUAACCUACAACCCUCUCACAUUGGUGAUGAUUUAUGGCCUCGGCCACAUAUUUCAGGGGGCACCAUGGCAAGUUCAGUCACAGGGCGCUAACACUGACAAAUGUACGGGAAACCAACUUCAACUAGCUAAUGUGGCAAAUCAAGGACCUUCAUGCAGCACGUGGCAUCAGGCGUUAACCAUGUACCUGCCAUCGACGUCAUACACAUGACCUUCAACUACAAUCAAUAGUGGCACGGGGACAUCUACUGCGGGGAGCUCUGAGCACACGGAAGACGCGUUCCACCAGCCAGCCAACAAUCAUGCCACAAACAAUGUCGAGUCAGUGUCGGAAAUGGAAAUCAUUCCAGCAAUGCCGACAAGCACACCUUUGAACACCAGCACAAGCAACACUAAAGUAGAUGAAGCUGCCGCCGAUAAUGAAGUGAAUGAUGAAACUGAUGAUGAAGCACAAGGGGAUGAAGAUGGUGGGCAAUCAGAAAUCAUGGUACCUCAGCCACCAUUCCAGGAAGAAAUAAAGCGUGCCAGCAUGUUCACGGCUUUCCAGGUGGACGAACAUACGUUCAAGGUGUGUUCUAUCUUGGGCAUGUCGGAUUCAGAACCUGAAGACCCGGACAAGGGAAGGAACUACUUCGUGAAAGCCUCGAUAAGCCAAGGCGAAUACUACUGCCAACGCUGCAAAUUUGAACGGGACGGCAUUGUGUGUUGUCACAUACUAAAAGUAAUGGACAUGAACACGGUGACACGAAUGCCCCGCCAUUUCAUAAGGUGGCGAUGGACUUGGGAUGCUGACGACGCAUUGGCGCCGCAAACAUCAAACGCAGUUUUGGCUGUGCAUGACGAGAGACCGGAGUCAACCAUGGAAGCCGUGAGGCACGUUGUGUUGACAAAGAACUAUGCUGAACUAAUUGAUGAAGCAUGCAAGAGUGAUGAGACAGCGAGGGUCACAGAAAAACACAGGAAGGCCCUGAAAAGAGAGCUUGAUGAGAUCAAGAAGAGGAAAGUUGAGAAAGCCUUACACAGGUUCCCCCGCACAUCAAGUGUGCCUUCGUCCACGGGGCCAUCAUAUGAAAACUCGGAGGUGGGAUCUGAAACAGCAAGCACACAAACCCAGGUUAGGAACCCGCCCCGUUCCAUCACAAAGGGGCAUCCAAAAGAGAUAAGAUACAAAUCGGGAUUGGAGAUUCAAGCAAAAGACAAGAAAACAAAGAAAGGGACGGGCAAUCCGUAA